UAGGGAAUCUUCCGCAAUGGACGCAAGUCUGACGGAGCAACGCCGCGUGAGUGAAGAAGGAUUUCGGUUCGUAAAACUCUGUUGUAGAGAAGAACAGCGCAUAGAGUAACUGUUAUGCGUGUGACGGUAUCUAACCAGAAAGCCACGGCUAACUACGUGCCAGCAGCCGCGGUAAUACGUAGGUGGCAAGCGUUGUCCGGAUUUAUUGGGCGUAAAGCGAGCGCAGGCGGUCAAUUAAGUCUGAUGUGAAAGCCCCCGGCUCAACCGGGGAGGGUCAUUGGAAACUGGUUGACUUGAGUGCAGAAGAGGAGAGUGGAAUUCCAUGUGUAGCGGUGAAAUGCGUAGAUAUAUGGAGGAACACCAGUGGCGAAGGCGACUCUCUAGUCUGUAACUGACGCUGAGGCUCGAAAGCGUGGGGAGCGAACAGG
rnacentral:rRNA from 1 species